rnacentral:rRNA from 1 species
UGGGGAAUAUUGCACAAUGGGCGCAAGCCUGAUGCAGCCAUGCCGCGUGUGUGAAGAAGGCCUUCGGGUUGUAAAGCACUUUCAGCGAGGAGGAAGGUGGUGAGCUUAAUACGCUCAUCAAUUGACGUUACUCGCAGAAGAAGCACCGGCUAACUCCGUGCCAGCAGCCGCGGUAAUACGGAGGGUGCAAGCGUUAAUCGGAAUUACUGGGCGUAAAGCGCACGCAGGCGGUUUGUUAAGUCAGAUGUGAAAUCCCCGGGCUCAACCUGGGAACUGCAUUUGAAACUGGCAAGCUAGAGUCUCGUAGAGGGGGGUAGAAUUCCAGGUGUAGCGGUGAAAUGCGUAGAGAUCUGGAGGAAUACCGGUGGCGAAGGCGGCCCCCCUGGACGAAGACUGACGCUCAGGUGCGAAAGCGUGGGGCAGCAAACAGGAUUAGAUACCCUGGUAGUCCAGCGCUGUAAACGAUGUCGAUUUGGAGGUUGUGCCCUUGAGGCGUGGCUUCCGGAGCUAACGCGUUAAAUCGACCGCCUGGGGAGUACGGCCGCAAGGUUAAAACUUAAAGGAAUUGAC